rnacentral:tRNA from 1 species
UGGGUUGCUAACUCAAUAGGUUAGAGUCAUCGGCUUUUAACCGAUAGGUUCUGGGUUCGACUCCCAGGCAUCCCACCCA